CAUACAUUAGCAUUAACUACUUCCUUUAUAUAUAUGCAUUUACUCACAUAGUUAUAAUUACUUCAAAACCCCCUUUUUAUACAAAUAGUUUUGAGAGAGUAGUUUCUUUCCCGCAAUUCUUUAAAUAGGUAAUAAUAAUUAAAUAAUCCCUCUCUUGUUAAUUAAGCUAAGUUUAAAAACUGUCUUCGGAUAGGCUCUGAGGGAUGCUUAACACCUUCCCCUCAGGGUAAAUAAAACCCUUACCUAGAAUCUCACAGGUUUCAAAGACUAAAAAAUGGAGUUUAAAUUUUACAAAUGGUUUUCUAAUAUUUCCUAAAAUUAGGUGGCGACUCUGAAAAUUUGCAAAACCAGAGGAAACAUAAUCAUAAAUUGUAAACUAGUUUUAAUCCGUUGAGAAUAGGGCAUAACAUUUAACAGCAUGUUAUGCUGGUCUUAACAUAAAAAAAUUGGUAUUAUAGUCUAAAUUCUCUGAUUUUUUUCAAAUUCCUAUGGUCUGUUUAGUUGACCAUCAUAUGACUAAAUUGAAGGAUCAACCAAGUCCUUUUCUUUGUCAGUAAAGAAAAACAAUAAGUAUAUGUUAGAAAAUAUAAAGUCAGCUACAUUAAAAUACUAAGGUGUUUGAUUUCAAAUCUAUUCUCUCCCUCUCACAUUUUGGAACUAUCUUUCUUCUCUGAUUUCUCUACCCGCUAAAACCCCAAAGUUUAAUAUACUUUGGCUGGACUAAAGACCCUAAAUAAAUUACCAAGAAAAGGGAGGAGGAGUGCAAGAAAGAGGAUCCUCGACACAGAACCAACAAUCGUUGAAAACCAUCUAGAAGAAGCAACAGUUGAAAACCCUCCAGAACUAGCAGUAGUUAAAUCCCAUCGGACAACGAGAUCUGCAAGAGGAAACUUAUAGAAAGUCAAUCAAGAGAUGGAGAACCCUAAUUCUUGACAAAAAUUGAGUAAAAGGGGUAAUAAUGGUGAUGGAAAGGAGAAAAGAAAGCUUCUAGUCAAGGAACAUGCAGUGGUGGAAAACCGUCAAAGAGUAAGAUCUAGAUUAAAUUUUGAAGGUAAACUCUUAGAUAACUCUAUUGAAAUUGAAGGAGAGAAAAAAAAAUCUAUGUGCUAAUGAAUAGGCUGAGAUUGAACAGGAAGAAGAAGAAGAAGAAGAAGAAGAAGAAGAAGAAAAGGAUGCAGGCUCCGAUGACAAGUCUGCGAGUGACAAUGAAGGAGAGCAGUCUGAUGACAUGGAUGAUGGUGAAAAGGAAUGUGAAGAAUCCGUUGACAAGGAUUAUAGUGCAACUGAAUGUGAGGAAUUUGAUGAGCGUGAAAAGGAAUGUAAGGAAUCUGAUAACAAGGAUGAUGGUACAAUUGAAUGUGAGGAAUCUAAUGAGCGUGAAAAGGAAUGUGAGGAUCCGAUAAGAAUGCUGAGGGUGAAAAGGAAGGUAAGAAGUUGGAUGCAGGCUCCCAUAAGAAUGAUGGUUGCCAAAAGGAAGAUGAACUAUUGGCUAAGCUCAAAAAUGAAUUUUGGAAGGUGGAUGCAGGCUCCACUAAGAAUGCUGACUGCAAAAAGGAGGGUGAGCAAUUGGGUGCCGACUCCAAUGAGAAUAUUGAGAGUGAAAAAGAAGGAAAUGAAUCCAAUGACCUUAUUGAGGAUGAAAAGGAAGAAAGAGAUGAAUCAGGUGGAGACGGCGAAGAAAUCACGCAGAGAGAAGAAACCACCAUUGAGGAUGUAGGCUCCCCUAGGAAUACUGACUACGAAAAAGAAGGUAAGGAAUUGAUUACAGGCUGCAACGAGAAUGUUGAGAUUGAAAAGGAAGGACAUGAAUCCAGUGAAGGCUCCGAUGAUAAUGUUGAGGAUGAAAAAGAAGAAGGAGAUGGUGAAGAAACCACGCAGAGCAAAGAAACUGUCAUUGAGGAUGUUAAAAUGGCAGAAGAGAAAAAACUCUGUCGCUAUGGCAAUCGGUUGAUCCAUUUGGCUCUUGUAUAAUAAGCAUGCCGAGACGGAGGUGCAUCCUUUCCUUGUCCCUACUCAUAGCAGGCCAUAUAAAAGCUUCAUAAGGGACUUUGUUGAACUUAGAAAUGAUCUUCCGGACCAAAGAAUUGAUAGGCUGAGAGAACAAUUGCAAAGGGUGACUGCAAUAACAAGCACAAAACCUGCUGGAGUUGUAGGCUUGGGAGAUGGAGGUGGUUCAUCUGGUUAUGUUGGUGUAGAGGGGCUAGGAGUUGGAGGUGUUGGUAGCUCAGGCGUUUGCAGUCAAGGUGUCAAUGAUCCAACCACUAUAAAUAAAGUGCUACAAAGGUGGAAAGUAUCCGAGAGGUAAAUACUACUAUUCUCGAGAGACUAGAGCAGCAUAGGAAUAGUAAUAUUAAAUGAGGUAGAGAUAAGCAGAGAGUUGAGGGAGCAGCAGAUGAAAAUAUGAAGAAGCUUGAUCUCUACAAACCUAUUGAAAUUGAGAAGAAGAAAGCUUACCUCACAUGGAUAAACAGUAGGUCAAAGGAACCACACCUAGGUCAUACCAUAGAAAUGAGCUGGAAAAUGCUUAAGUACAUUAGCAGAUCUGGCUCAUGGUUAGAAGGAGAGGUAAGUUAACUUCCCAUUUAUUUGUUGUCUAAACAUAUUUUUUGUUGCAUAUAUUGUCAUGACCCAAUUUAGCUAAGUCACGUGUGAACCUACCUUUCCUACCUCGGUAGGCGAAUUGUCACGCCCCGAACCAUGGCCUGGGCGAAACACGGCACUCGGUGCCAUACUGCAUAUGACCGAGCGAGCCCACAUGGCUUACUGAAUCAUCAUGAGGCAUACAUGAGCGAAAAUAUAGCAUGAACUUGAUGAGCUUU